UACGAAGGGGGCUAGCGUUGCUCGGAAUUACUGGGCGUAAAGCGCACGUAGGCGGCUUUCUAAGUCGGGGGUGAAAUCCUGGAGCUCAACUCCAGAACUGCCUUCGAUACUGGAGAGCUCGAGUCCGGAAGAGGAGAGUGGAAUUCCUGGUGUAGCGGUGAAAUGCGCAGAUAUCAGGAAGAACACCAAUGGCGAAGGCAGCUCUCUGGGACGGUACUGACACUGAGACGCGAAAGCGUGGGGAGCGAACAGG
rnacentral:rRNA from 1 species